UGUCCAUCGCCUUGGCUAGUUCCUGCGAGACGAGAGACUUCGACCAGAUACUAAUCUGUAAUAUACCGAAUUUUUAAUAUAAAAGUAAGUGUAAAUAAAAAUAGUGUAAGAUACUAUUUUUAUUGGAUUUAGAGAAGUGAAAUAUAAGUCGAAAAUGAUUUAUGCUAAAAUUGGAAUGAAAACAGAAGAUUUAGAAUUUUUUGUAAAAAACGGGGCUGAUAUUUUAACAGAAAAUUCACAGUGUUAGAAAAUUAUGAAAUUUGGAGAGUAUGUCAGAAUUAUUUUUCUGCGGCUACAUUUAAAGUUUCAUGUCAUUCUGACAUCCGAAAAGUAGAAAAUAAAAUCUGACUGCUAUCUAACUGCUAUCUGCUAGAGAUUUUAGUCGGUAGAGUUUUCGGUGACAAAAAAUAGUCCAAACUGAAAAGUUAAAAUAUCAUUCUUAUUAUUAAUUUUAAUCGAGCCUGACUGUCAAAUUUGAGCGUAAACGGACACUCAGAAGGGCUCCGGAGAAAGAUAUCAGAUUCUGAAUUGGGAAUCGUAUUAUAGAAAGA
rnacentral:lncRNA from 1 species